GGGAAAAUAUAUAUUUCAAUACUCUCUCUCGCAGUUAUAUCGUUGGGUAAUUAUAAUGUAUAUAAAAUGCGGGGGUCAGGGAGCCGCUUUUAAUAUAUUUGAUCGCUUUUUAUUUUCCCUUUCGCACAUGCUCUGUGUAAACUACAGUGGCAGUACUUAUUUAACACACAUUUUACAAGAGCAUAGGCUUGUCAGUGGUGCUCAGGAUCUGUAAAUCAUUCGCCAUCAUCCUCAGUCAUCUCUCCUUACUUUCUUUAUGUGGUAAGUGAAAUCUUAUGUCCUGUAACAGGCUACCGCUAGCAAGCAGCUAACCAUGUUCCAUUAGUGACUCACGUUAUUUGUUUUCCGUGCCUUUCUGAAUACAGACACCAACCCAUCCCUGCACAUCACAUCCCUUGCACAGCCUGAAACAUAACAUUUAUUUCCAUGAACUGCCAUUCUUGCUAUUAUCCAAGCUUGUUUCUUCACAAUACCUGCAGAGCUUCUGAUGAUUUGGCUGUGCAGGCUCGGCUGGUGGCUGGCAUAGAACAUGGGUCUACUCUAGAGUUUUUACUCUGCAGAAAACUGACGAGCAACCCAACCCACCAAUAGACGAGGAAGAUGAGAAUAAUCACAGUGGUCCAGCAUAUACAAAGAGAAAGAACUCAAAAGAACAUACUUUGAAGAAUGCUGGUAAUCAAACCCAACAAGUUUGUCAGGUAUGGACAGUAUGAAGGGGACAAAAUGAUUUUCAUAUUUUGGGUGAACUCUUUUUAAUUAGCAUGCUACACACUAAAUAUUAAUCAUGCUGGGCACAGUUUACAGUUAGUGCUGUAAAUAGUCUGUCAAAUAACAGGUACAUUGCUACAACAUAAAUUUAAUGUAGUUCACAAUGAUGCAUUACAUUAGACCUUUUACUAAUAGAUACUUGUAUAUUAUUUGCUCUUUACAGGUGCAGAAAUAAAAGCUCCCAAACAAAGAUGUCA
ensembl:lncRNA